UACAGAGGUGCCAAGCGUUAGGCGGAAUCACUGGGCUUAAAGCGUGUGUAGGCGGAAUGGUAAGUACCUUGUGAAAGCCCCGAGCUCAACUUGGGAAUGGCAUUGGAAACUGGCGGGCUGGAGUGUGGCAGAGGGGGGUGGAAUUCCACGUGUAGCAGUGAAAUGCGUAGAGAUGUGGAGGAACACCGAUGGCGAAGGCAGCCCCCUGGGCCAACACUGACGCUCAGGCACGAAAGCGUGGGGAGCAAACAGG
rnacentral:rRNA from 1 species